rnacentral:misc_RNA from 1 species
GCAAUAAGGAAUAUCAUAUUCUUUAACACCUUCUGAGUAUUUGUGCUUGUUGCUUCCGUGGGUUGUAAGCUUUGAUGCUUGCAUUCGCAGUAACGGCGAACCCACGGGAGGUGUAUAUAAACCCUGUAUUCUUAUUGUAUCAGUCUGAGCAUGUCAUACCAAAUACUA